AUCAACCUGUUUGGGGAAGUUUGGGGUAUUGGUCCAGCUACAGCUCUUAAACUGUAUGAAAAAGGCCACCGCACGUUGAAUGAUUUGAAGAAUGAGGACUCACUAACACAUUCACAGAGGGUAGGCUUGGAGUAUUUCGAAGAUAUCAAGAAAAGGAUUCCGCGCAAUGAGGUUCAAGAUAUGGAGCUUCUACUUCAGAAAGCUGGUGAAGAAGUUUUACCUGGGGUAAGCGUUGUCUGCGGAGGAUCAUUUAGACGCGGUAAAGCUACUUGUGGGGACAUGGACAUUGUAAUUACACACCCUGAUGGGACAAGUCAUAAAGGUUUUCUUGCAAAAUACGUGAAGCAUCUGAAGGAUCUAAACUUCUUAAGAGAAGAUUUGAUCUUCAGCACCCACAGCGAAGAGG